rnacentral:lncRNA from 10 species
AAGCGCAAGAGAGCGUCUUUGCCUGCAGACUUGCUGUUGAUGUUGCAUCUGCCUGCAGCCACCACUGCUUUACUCACUGACAAGGUGCCUAGUGGGAAACCCCAGGAACCUAGGCCUGGGAGGUCUCAGGAGCUUCACCUCCUGGAGGCCUGCUCGAGGGGCUUGGCCUCAGAGACCUGCACUCAGGAGGGGUCAGAGACAGUAGAACUUGGGGUCCGCUCCCUGGCUAGCUAAUUAAUUCUUGAGCAUGUCUUGGAGACGUCGCAGAGAAGGCAAAAUGAGUAAGAUGAGAUCCCUGUUCUUGAGGGGCAGAGAAAGUAGAGGUGCAAAUACACAAUUAGUUGUGAGAGAAGGCCAAGUUGAGAGGGCAAACAGAGUCCUACAGAAACUCUUUUCUUCUUCAUUAUUCUUUUUCUUUUUUUUUUCAAGACAGAGUCUCACUCUGUCGCCCAGGCUGGAGUGCAAUGGCGCGAUCUUGGCUCACUACAACCUCUGCCUCCUAUGUUCAAAUGAUUCUACUGCCUCAGCCUCCCGAGUAGCUGGGAUUGCAGGCGUGCAUUACCACAUCCAGCUAAUUUUUGUAUUUUUAGUAGAGACCUGGUUUCACCAUGUUGGCCAGGCUGGUCUUGAACUCCUGACGUCAAGUGAUCUGCCCACCUCCGCCCCACAAAGUGUUGGGCUUACAGACAGCCGUCACACCCGGCCUUCUU